rnacentral:rRNA from 1 species
AUUGAACGCUGGCGGCAUGCUUUACACAUGCAAGUCGAACGGUAACAGGCCUUCGGGCGCUGACGAGUGGCGAACGGGUGAGUAAUGCAUCGGAACGUGCCCAGUCGUGGGGGAUAACGCAGCGAAAGCUGUGCUAAUACCGCAUACGAUCUGCGGAUGAAAGCGGGGGACCUUAGGGCCUCGCGCUACUAGAGCGGCUGAUGGCAGAUUAGGUAGUUGGUGGGGUAAAAGCUUACCAAGCCUGCGAUCUGUAGCUGGUCUGAGAGGACGACCAGCCACACUGGGACUGAGACACGGCCCAGACUCCUACGGGAGGCAGCAGUGGGGAAUAUUGCACAAUGGGCGCAAGCCUGAUGCAGCAACGCCGCGUGAGGGAUGAAGGCCUCGGUGUAACCUCUUUAGCAGGGAAGAAGCGAAAGUGACGGUACCUGCAGAAAAAGACACCGGCUAACUACGUG